AUGAUAUUGUGUUACAAAACAAUUGAUUUUUGCAUACUAACUUUAUAUCCUCAACCUUACAAUAAUCACCUAUUAAUUCUGAGAGGUUUUUGUUUGUUUGUUUAUUCUUUGGGAUUUUCUACAGAGACAAUCAUCUCAUCUGUGAACCCUGCACUUUUGAGAUCAGAGGAUGGGCCUGUGGAAAUCUUGGAGCUGGAGGAGAGAUCUCCUCAGGGUUAUAUGAUUUUUAUUUCUCCAUGAAAUGGACUGGGAUCCUCCCAAUCAGAUGUCCAUGAUGUAUUACUGACUGAAGCAGCUUAGACUGGUAAGUUCACAAGCUGGUUCUCUUUAAUACCCUACUGUGCAUGCCAUAUGGGCAUGCUGUUUACCGUGCACUCCAGUUUUUCAAAUAUUCCCUCGCCUAUUUUUUUAAAAGAUACGCUGCUAUUUUAGUAAGCUCUUCAUUAAGUUCAGAUUACUGUUUUUGUGUUUUAUUUUCCCUGUUAUAAGAUACAGAGUAGAAAAAUAAAAAGUCUAAAUCAAUAUCCUAGACAUUUUCAAGCAGUGUCACUAAUUUCAUUGAUUUAUGUUUAGGGACCCAUUUAUUUCCUUCCAUGGAACUACAUCUCUAAAAAUACUUCGAUAGCAUCCACGGAAGUUACCUUCCUACCUUCUUGUUCUAACACAAUUAGAAAUAACAAAUUGUGUUUUCUAUUCUCUAUGUCUAAUGCAAACUACUUUUUGCUUAUAGACUAAUGGUCACAGUGUUCAGCUCUUGAGUCAAAAGAUAAUACUACACGUUCUCCCACUCUCAUUUGUCAUAGUGGCCAGUCUAUGUUUCUCACAAGAAGGUUGAAGAUAGUCUCACAAUGCCCCAGCCAAGUUCCAUUUCCAAAGCAGUGAAUCGUUACUAUUCCUUUCACUAUUACCUUGAAAUAUAUAAUAAAUAGAAUAUAAUAGAAUAAUAUAAUACUUCUGAAGCCAUGACCCAUAUGAUACAGUCUGAAAUCAGUAUCAAAUUUAAAGAAUUGUAGCUCCCCAGAUGCAAUUCUACCCUUUAUUUACAUUUCACCAAGCAGAUGUUGCAUAGCAACACAUAUUAAAAACGGUCUAACUUUUUGAUUACCUAAUAUCCCCACAGUCUGUGGAAGCAUCCCAUUCUGUUUACAACACUAUUCUGCCUCACCAUUGUGCACUCUUGGGCUGUACCUUCUUGCCUAAUAACACCCCAAAACAUCAAACCCCCUCUUCACCUGCAUACCUGCCUCAUGUAGAUAUUCUAGUUCAUCUUCAACUCUUAUCAUUUAUUUCAUGAAAAUAAAACUGUUCUCUCUACUCUUUGCAUCAUCAAAAAAUAGGUAAAGUAGUGACAUCAGCAAGAUGGCACAAGAUGGCAUAAUAGGACUUGUCAGCACUCCUCUCAAUGCAGAAACAUCAAUUUGAACAACUAUGCAUGUACAACAAUACCUUCACAGUGCUAUGAAACCAAGUAAGAGAUUACAGCACCUGAGUAUAACACAGGAAUAAGGAAAGACACGCUGAAGAGGGUAGGAAGGACAGUUGCACAUUACACACGUCAGCCUUCUCCAACCUACCUAGCAUAGUACAGAGAGAAAUACCUACUUUGCAGGAAAGAGGAGGGAAGUGAGCACCCAGUUUUGCUCAGACCAUAACACUAGGCUCCCCGGUGAAACCCAGAGCCAGUCAGGCCCUCAUGGCCCAGGUUCCUGGUUAGCACUUGUAGACUGAGUGGCCAGGCCCCUACAGUGCCAGGCCAGGACCUGGACAGCUAUUUCUCAAAAGAUGACUUAGGGAACAUGACACACCGGGGCCUGGUGAGGAGUGGGGGGCAAGGGGAGGGAUAACAUUAGGACGAAUACCUAAUGCAUGCAGAGCUUAAAACCUAGGUGACGGGUUAAUGGGUGCAGCAAACCACCAUGGCACGUGUAUACCUAUGUAACAAACUGCACGUUCUGCACAUGUAUUCCAGAACUUAAAGUAUAAUUUAAAAAAAAGAAGACUUGGAAAUGGCCAACAGGUAUAUAACAAAGUGCUCAGCAUCACUAAUCAUCAGGGAAAUGCAAAUUAAAACCACAAUGAGAUGUCACCUCACACAUGUUGGAAUGGCUAUUAUCACGUUAUCAAAAAGACAAAAGAUAACAAGUGCUGAUGAGGAUGUGAAGAAAAGGGACCCCUUGUACACUGUUGGUGGAGAUGUAAAUUAGAAUAGCCAUUGUGAAAAACAACACAGAGAUUCCUCAAAAGAUUAAAAAUAGAACCACCACAUGAUCUCACAAUACCACCACUUGGUGUCUAUUCAAAAGAAAAGAAGUCAGUAUAUCAAAGGGAUACUUGUGCCCUGAUGUUUAUUGCAGCACUAUUCACAAUAGCCAAAAUACUGAAUCCACUUAAGUGUCCAUCAAUGAAUGAACAGAUAAAGAAAAUUUGUUAUAUACACACAAUGGAAUACUAUUCAGUCUUACAACCCAGCCUCCCUUUCCUUCCCAGUUAAUACACCGUCUGUCAUUUACACGACCUCAUUCUUAGCCAAUUGUCAGCACAUCCCAAUUUAUCUGUCUGCUGAUAAGAUUUAAGAUGUUCCCGGCAGGGCACGGUGGCUCAGGCCUGUAAUCCCAGCACUUUGGGAGUCCGAGGUGGGCGGAUCACGAGAUCAGGAGAUGGAGACCAUCCUGGCUAACACGGUGAAAUCCCGUCUCUACUAAAAACACAAAAAACUUAGCCAGGUGUGAUGGCAGGCGUCUGUAGUCCCAGCUACUCCGGAGGCUGAGGCAGGAGAAUGGCGUGAACCCGGGAGGCGGAGCUUGCAGUGAGCCGAGAUCGCGCCACUGCGCUCCAGCCUGGGCCACAGAGCAAGACUCCGUCUCCCCCCGCUAAAAAAAAAAAAAAAAAGAAAUUUAAAAUGUUACCAUCCCAACGUAAUAUGAAACUCUUAAAGUUCCUUGAGACCCCUUCAGGACCCAAAGAUGUUCAUUUUUGAUGGUGAGAUAUUAAAAAUCAUAGGUAUGAAGGGAAUAUGGAAUUUCAAAGCUGGUCUGUUUCACGACCCUCUUUUGAUGCAUUCGAAAAUUAAGAUCUAGAGAGAGGAAGAGGCUUGAUCAGAAUCACACAGUAAGUCAGUGACUGACCAAGGCCAUUACGCAUGUCAAAUCCAAGGGCUCCUUGCCCAUUCAGAUCAUAGCUUAUAGAUGCCCAUGUAGUCAACUGACUACCUUGAAAGUUAACCUUCAGCCUAUAGGUCUUUGUGAUGCUUGGCAAACAUACUCGCUUGCCCUCUAAGCAGAGGGGAUAGGAAGCAGCUGUAGGUUUUGUUAAUAUUGUGAGGGAUCCCAAAGGUUAUAUGAACCAAUUCCAUAAUGUAACAACUUACUGAGAGGAAGUGGUAGGAGAAAGCAAGUGAGGAAGGUUAAAGAUACUUGUUCCUAAAUUCGUAUUUAAAACCAGUGAGUUUCAAAUCUGGGCUAUGACUCAGAAACAUCUGUAACUGUGUUGGCAAACUAGGGUAACUAGGGGAAUUACUUUAAGGUGGGUUAUAAACAUAAAAGCAAAAACUAUAAAGUCUCUAGAAGAAAACAUAGGACAAAAUUUUUGCCAUCUGGGGUUGGAAAAGAUUUCUUGAUAGGAUGCAGAAAGAGAUAGCCCUACAAAAAAAGAGAAAACUUAUCAAAAGACACUAUUAGGAAAGUCAACUGGCAAGCUACAGAAUGGAACAUAUUUGCAAAACAUACAUUUGACAAAGGACAUAUCCAAGAUGUAGAGUAAACUCAUAAAACUCAAAAAUAUAAAGAACAGUCUAACUGAAACAUGAACAAAAGAACUGAGGAGACCUCACAAAAGAAGGUUGCCCAAUAAGCACAAGACCAGGUGCUCAACAUCAUUAAAUAUCAGGAAAAUGCAACCAAAUUCUCUUAUAUAAUUAGUGGGAGUGUAAGUAAAACAGCACAACCAUUUUGGACAAAGGCUUGUCAGUUUCUUGUUUAACAGCAAACAAAUAAAUUUAAAAACUACCCUAUAAUCCAGCAGUUCCACUCCUAGGCAUUUAUCCAAGAGAAAUGAAAACACAUGUCCUCAAAAAGACUUGCAUAGAAACAUUUGGGUUUUUGUUAGUUUUUUAUUAGUUGAAAAAUAAAUUUAAG
rnacentral:lncRNA from 10 species